rnacentral:rRNA from 1 species
UCUGGUUGAUCCUGCCAGUAGUUAUAUGCUUGUCUCAAAGAUUAAGCCAUGCAUGUCUAAGUACACACGAAUUAAAAGUGAAACCGCAAAAGGCUCAUUAUAUCAGUUAUGGUUCCUUAGAUCGUUAACAGUUACUUGGAUAACUGUGGUAAUUCUAGAGCUAAUACAUGCAAUUAAAACAUGAACCUUAUGGGACAUGUGCUUUUAUUAGGCUAAAACCAAGCGAUCGCAAGAUCGUUAUAUUGGUUGAACUCUAGAUAACAUGCAGAUCGUAUGGUCUUGUACCGACGACAGAUCUUUCAAAUGUCUGCCCUAUCAACUUUUGAUGGUAGUAUCUAGGACUACCAUGGUUGCAACGGGUAACGGGGAAUCAGGGUUCGAUUCCGGAGAGGGAGCCUGAGAAACGGCUACCACAUCUAAGGAAGGCAGCAGGCGCGUAAAUUACCCACUCCCAGCUCGGGGAGGUAGUGACGAAAAAUAACAAUACAGGACUCAUAUCCGAGGCCCUGUAAUUGGAAUGAGUACACUUUAAAUCCUUUAACAAGGACCAAUUGGAGGGCAAGUCUGGUGCCAGCAGCCGCGGUAAUUCCAGCUCCAAUAGCGUAUAUUAAAGUUGUUGCGGUUAAAACGUUCGUAGUUGAACUUGUGCUUCAUACGGGUAGUACAACUUACAAUUGUGGUUAGUACUAUACCUUUAUGUAUGUAAGCGUAUUACCGGUGGAGUUCUUAUAUGUGAUUAAAUACUUGUAUUUUUUCAUAUGUUCCUCCUAUUUAAAAACCUGCACUAGUGCUCUUAAACGAGUGUUAUUGUGGGCCGGUACUAUUACUUUGAACAAAUUAGAGUGCUUAAAGCAGGCUUCAAAUGCCUGAAUAUUCUGUGCAUGGGAUAAUGAAAUAAGACCUCUGUUCUGCUUUCACUUGGUAAUUCAGAUCAAGAGGUAAUGAUUAAUAGAAGCAGUU